GACGAACGCUGGCGGCGUGCCUAAUACAUGCAAGUCGAACGCUUCUUUUUCCACCGGAGCUUGCUCCACCGGAAAAAGAGGAGUGGCGAACGGGUGAGUAACACGUGGGUAACCUGCCCAUCAGAAGGGGAUAACACUUGGAAACAGGUGCUAAUACCGUAUAACAAUCGAAACCGCAUGGUUUUGAUUUGAAAGGCGCUUUCGGGUGUCGCUGAUGGAUGGACCCGCGGUGCAUUAGCUAGUUGGUGAGGUAACGGCUCACCAAGGCCACGAUGCAUAGCCGACCUGAGAGGGUGAUCGGCCACAUUGGGACUGAGACACGGCCCAAACUCCUACGGGAGGCAGCAGUAGGGAAUCUUCGGCAAUGGACGAAAGUCUGACCGAGCAACGCCGCGUGAGUGAAGAAGGUUUUCGGAUCGUAAAACUCUGUUGUUAGAGAAGAACAAGGAUGAGAGUAACUGUUCAUCCCUUGACGGUAUCUAACCAGAAAGCCACGGCUAACUACGUGCCAGCAGCCGCGGUAAUACGUAGGUGGCAAGCGUUGUCCGGAUUUAUUGGGCGUAAAGCGAGCGCAGGCGGUUUCUUAAGUCUGAUGUGAAAGCCCCCGGCUCAACCGGGGAGGGUCAUUGGAAACUGGGAGACUUGAGUGCAGAAGAGGAGAGUGGAAUUCCAUGUGUAGCGGUGAAAUGCGUAGAUAUAUGGAGGAACACCAGUGGCGAAGGCGGCUCUCUGGUCUGUAACUGACGCUGAGGCUCGAAAGCGUGGGGA
rnacentral:rRNA from 1 species